GAUGAAGAACGCAGCGAAAUGCGAUAAGUAAUGUGAAUUGCAGAAUCUAGUGAAUCAUCGAAUCUUUGAACGCACAUUGCGCCCCUCGGUAUUCCGGGAGGCAUGCCUGUUCGAGCGUCAUCGCAACCCUCAAGCACUGCUUGGUCUUGGGCCUCGCCGGCGACGGCCGGCCCUAAAACGAGCAGCGGUGCCUCGGAGCUCUACGCGGAGUAAAUCUUGGAUAACGCGUCUGGGCCUCCGGCGGUGCUCGCUAGAAACCCCGAUUUCACGGUUGACCUCGAAUCAGGUAGGGAUACCCGCUGAACUUAAGCAUAUCAAUAAGCGGAGGA
rnacentral:misc_RNA from 1 species